AUUAUUUUGGCAGAUUAGUGCAAUGAAUUUAGAAUUCAUAAAUGUAAUUUUUAC
rnacentral:tRNA from 5 species